rnacentral:lncRNA from 1 species
AGCAGCAUUUCACACUUCGAGCAACUGAUUGUGUAACAGAGAUUGACUUUUUUAUGGGUAUUCUAAGAAAUUGAGCUGAAACCAGUAUUGCACAUUAUAAUGUGCCCACUGCAAGAAUGAGUAGUAUUUUUUUGUCUUUUGUAAAUGGCACAGUGUGAAAGACUUGAACCUCAGACAGACCAGUUCCAAGCAUCUAAAACACUCAAAAACGUACAGUGGCUAUGAAGAGAAGUCCAGGAGACUGUAAGGGGGCAGUCUGGUUUUGGAGACCGAAAGAGGGAAGAGCCACCAGAAAGCGUGCUGAAUACUGGAAGUACAUUUUGAGAGAUGUUCUGCAUUUCUGAAACGGACUGAAAGGACUUCAUUCUUCCUUGAUUACAUGGUAAGGUUUUAACAUUCUCG